GGCUCCUUGAACUACAUCAUAUAAGGAGUCGGACCUGCCCAGUGAAAAAUUUUAACGGCCGCGGUACUCUGACCGUGCAAAGGUAGCAUAAUCACUUGCCUUAUAAUUGAAGGCUAGUAUGAAUGGUUUGACGAAAGCUUUACUGUCUCUUCUCCACUUUAUAGAAUUUAACUUUCAGGUGAAGAGGCCUGUCUAAAAUUGAAGGACGAGAAGACCCUGUCGAGCUUUAAGAAAAUGGGGAAAAAUCUUAUAUUUAUAAAUAUAAAACCCCCUUUAUCUUUUGGUUGGGGCGACUAGGGAACAACUAAAGCUUCCCUUAUUUACUAAACUUAUUUAUUAGGAUCCAGUAUUAAUUACUGAUUAAAAGAAUUAGUUACCGCAGGGAUAACAGCAUAAUCCUUCUUGAGAGACCUUAUCGAAAGAAGGGGUUGUGACCUCGAUGUUGGACUAGGAUAUCCUGAGGGUGCAGAAGCCUUCGAUGGUUGGUCUGUUCGACCAUUAAAAUCCUA
rnacentral:rRNA from 1 species